rnacentral:snoRNA from 1 species
ACCCUCCAGAUCCCUUACCCAUCAGACCUAAACACCGAUCCCUUACCCAUCAGACCUAAACACCGAUCUGAGUGGCUGGAAAAGGAGGAGACGUGCAAUCGAAACGUACCGACAUUCUUUUGUGACAGACAAGCCGGUUUCAAACACAG